rnacentral:rRNA from 1 species
AUGCUGGAGGUAUCAGAAGUGCGAAUGCUGACAUAAGUAACGAUAAAGCGGGUGAAAAGCCCGCUCGCCGGAAGACCAAGGGUUCCUGUCCAACGUUAAUCGGGGCAGGGUGAGUCGACCCCUAAGGCGAGGCCGAAAGGCGUAGUCGAUGGGAAACAGGUUAAUAUUCCUGUACUUGGUGUUACUGCGAAGGGGGGACGGAGAAGGCUAUGUUGGCCGGGCGACGGUUGUCCCGGUUUAAGCGUGUAGGCUGGUUUUCCAGGCAAAUCCGGAAAAUCAAGGCUGAGGCGUGAUGACGAGGCACUACGGUGCUGAAGCAACAAAUGCCCUGCUUCCAGGAAAAGCCUCUAAGCAUCAGGUAACAUCAAAUCGUACCCCAAACCGACACAGGUGGUCAGGUAGAGAAUACCAAGGCGCUUGAGAGAACUCGGGUGAAGGAACUAGGCAAAAUGGUGCCGUAACUUCGGGAGAAGGCACGCUGAUAUGUAGGUGAAGUCCCUCGCGGAUGGAGCUGAAAUCAGUCGAAGAUACCAGCUGGCUGCAACUGUUUAUUAAAAACACAGCACUGUGCAAACACGAAAGUGGACGUAUACGGUGUGACGCCUGCCCGGUGCCGGAAGGUUAAUUGAUGGGGUUAGCCGCAAGGCGAAGCUCUUGAUCGAAGCCCCGGUAAACGGCGGCCGUAACUAUAACGGUCCUAAGGUAGCGAAAUUCCUUGUCGGGUAAGUUCCGACCUGCACGAAUGGCGUAAUGAUGGCCAGGCUGUCUCCACCCGAGACUCAGUGAAAUUGAACUCGCUGUGAAGAUGCAGUGUACCCGCGGCAAGACGGAAAGACCCCGUGAACCUUUACUAUAGCUUGACACUGAACAUUGAGCCUUGAUGUGUAGGAUAGGUGGGAGGCUUUGAAGUGUGGACGCCAGUCUGCAUGGAGCCGACCUUGAAAUACCACCCUUUAAUGUUUGAUGUUCUAACGUUGACCCGUAAUCCGGGUUGCGGACAGUGUCUGGUGGGUAGUUUGACUGGGGCGGUCUCCUCCUAAAGAGUAACGGAGGAGCACGAAGGUUGGCUAAUCCUGGUCGGACAUCAGGAGGUUAGUGCAAUGGCAUAAGCCAGCUUGACUGCGAGCGUGACGGCGCGAGCAGGUGCGAAAGCAGGUCAUAGUGAUCCGGUGGUUCUGAAUGGAAGGGCCAUCGCUCAACGGAUAAAAGGUACUCCGGGGAUAACAGGCUGAUACCGCCCAAGAGUUCAUAUCGACGGCGGUGUUUGGCACCUCGAUGUCGGCUCAUCACAUCCUGGGGCUGAAGUAGGUCCCAAGGGUAUGGCUGUUCGCCAUUUAAAGUGGUACGCGAGCUGGGUUUAGAACGUCGUGAGACAGUUCGGUCCCUAUCUGCCGUGGGCGCUGGAGAACUGAGGGGGGCUGCUCCUAGUACGAGAGGACCGGAGUGGACGCAUCACUGGUGUUCGGGUUGUCAUGCCAAUGGCACUGCCCGGUAGCUAAAUGCGGAAGAGAUAAGUGCUGAAAGCAUCUAAGCACGAAACUUGCCCCGAGAUGAGUUCUCCCUGACUCCUUGA